rnacentral:sRNA from 4 species
GUCGCUGCAAAAUCAGCGGCCGGAUUUAGCGAUCCGAAUCUCUAUUCUCGACAUCGCGUUUCAU